rnacentral:rRNA from 1 species
GUGCCAGCCGCCGCGGUAAUACGGAAGGUCCGGGCGUUAUCCGGAUUUAUUGGGUUUAAAGGGAGCGCAGGCCGGAGGUCAAGCGUGACGUGAAAUGUAGCCGCUCAACGGCUGAACUGCGUCGCGAACUGGCUUUCUUGAGUGAGUUCGAUGUGGGCGGAAUUCGUGGUGUAGCGGUGAAAUGCUUAGAUAUCACGAAGAACUCCGAUUGCGAAGGCAGCCCACAAGGCCUUUACUGACGCUAAAGCUCGAAGGUGCGGGUAUCGAACAGGAUUAGAUACCCUGGUAGUCCGCACGGUAAACGAUGGAUGCCCGCUGUUUGCGAUAUACUGUGAGCGGCCAAGAGAAAUCGUUAAGCAUCCCACCUGGGGAGUACGCCGGCAACGGUGAAACUCAAAGGAAUUGACGGGGGCCCGCACAAGCGGAGGAACAUGUGGUUUAAUUCGAUGAUACGCGAGGAACCUUACCCGGGCUUGAACUGCAGCCGAACGAUAGAGAGAUCUUGAGGCCCUUCGGGGCGGCUGUGGAGGUGCUGCAUGGUUGUCGUCAGCUCGUGCCGUGAGGUGUCGGCUUAAGUGCCAUAACGAGCGCAACCCUUUUCGUCAGUUGCCAUCAGGUGAUGCUGGGCACUCUGGCGACACUGCCACCGUAAGGUGUGAGGAAGGUGGGGAUGACGUCAAAUCAGCACGGCCCUUACGUCCGGGGCUACACACGUGUUACAAUGGGGAGUACAGAGAGUCGGAUGUACGCAAGUGCGUUCUAAUCAGGAAAGCUCUCCUCAGUUCGGAUUGGGGUCUGCAACCCGACCCCAUGAAGCUGGAUUCGCUAGUAAUCGCGCAUCAGCCAUGGCGCGGUGAAUACGUUCCCGGGCCUUGUACACACCGCCCGU